rnacentral:tRNA from 1 species
GGAAGUAUAGCUCAGUGGUAGAGUUCGUGUCUAGCAUGCACAAGGUCCUGGGUUCAAUCCCCAGUACUGCCA